rnacentral:rRNA from 1 species
AACGAACGCUGGUGGCAGGCUUAACACAUGCAAGUCGAACGCAUCCUUCGGGGUGAGUGGCAGACGGGUGAGUAACGCGUGGGAAUCUACCCUGAUCUGCGGGAUAGCUCCGGGAAACUGGAAUUAAUACCGCAUAUGUCCUGAGGGACAAAGAUAUAUCGGUUCAGGAUGAGCCCGCGUCCGAUUAGCUAGUUGGUGGGGUAAAGGCCUACCAAGGCGACGAUCGGUAGCUGGUCUAAGAGGAUGAUCAGCCACAUUGAGACUGAGACACGGCCCAAACUCCUACGGGAGGCAGCAGUGGGGAAUAUUGGACAAUGGGCGCAGGCCUGAUCCAGCCAUGCCGCGUGAGUGAUGAAGGUCUUAGGAUUGUAAAGCUCUUUCACCGGGGACGAUAAUGACGGUACCCGGAGAAGAAGCCCCGGCUAACUUCGUGCCAGCCGCCGCAGUAA